rnacentral:rRNA from 1 species
UACGUAGGUGGCGAGCGUUGUCCGGAUUUAUUGGGUUUAAAGGGUGCGUAGGCGGCCUUAUAAGUCAGUGCUGAAAUAUCCCGGCUUAACCGGGAGGGUGGCAUUGAUACUGUAGGGCUUGAGUGAAGUCGAGGUAGGCGGAAUUGACGGUGUAGCGGUGAAAUGCUUAGAUAUCGUCAAGAACACCGAUAGUGAAGACAGCUUACUAGACUUCAACUGACGCUGAGGCACGAAAGUGUGGGGAUCAAACAGGAUUAGAAACCCCUGUAGUCC